rnacentral:rRNA from 1 species
UACGUAGGGGGCAAGCGUUGUCCGGAUUUAUUGGGCGUAAAGAGCGUGUAGGCGGCCAAGCAGGUCAGCUGUGAAAACUCGAGGCUCAACCUCGAGACGUCGGUUGAAACCGCUUGGCUAGAGUCCGGAAGAGGAGAGUGGAAUUCCCGGUGUAGCGGUGAAAUGCGCAGAUAUCGGGAAGAACACCCGUGGCGAAGGCGGCUCUCUGGGCCGGUACUGACGCUGAGGAGCGAAAGCGUGGGUAGCAAACAGG